CUCCUCCGCCCAAUCUCUCUUCCAUCCUCUAAUCUACUUACUAGAGUAAAUCACAUCACGUUCCGUCCGCGUGCGUUUCGUUUCUGUCCGCAAAGCUUAAUCAAGUGCAUGUUGGAUCAGGACGUUGUGCACGUGUAUGUUCAGGUUGAGCUCCAUGCAUGAUCGUGGCUGUCUCCAAGGUGAAGCUGCAAUCAUAUAAGAUUAAGAAAAUCUAUUGCUAUCAAUUGUGCCUCUCAUGCAUGCCUGCCGGAAGAAAUCUCUCUUACCUAUACGGCUGUGCGUACGUAUCCACUGGUGUAUCUAUAGCCAGAAUAGAUCAACCUGCUUUGGGAAUAAAUGGCUAUGUGGACGUGCAUGACAGGCGGGCUUUUGUGCGAUCACGCCGCCCUGUUCAUUGCAGCCUUGAGCCCUCGAUCUGUUCGUCAAGAUCCAAGAGGCGCAGAAGGACACCCCACAUAUGGAUCUUCCUCUGGUCGUCCUGUACACCAAAGUUCCAUAGAAGCCACAAUUCAGUCUGGCUUCUCACCACUCCCUUCUCUGACAUAUGAAUCUCUUCAUGUUUAAAGUUCCAGCCACCCUACAAACUGCAAUACAACAUCGGGAUUGUUUGUGUGGCAUUGGUGGAGGUUUAUUGGCGCCACUUUUAACAAGAUCACGCUGCCCUCUCUUGCUGCAGAGGGUGCCAACUGGAUAAAGUGGAGUAGGCGACAGG